rnacentral:lncRNA from 1 species
AGCCUCUCCGAAUUUGAUAAGUUUGGCACCUAUCUUUCAAGGUGGAACAUUUGUUAUCACUUCGAUUUAACGCAAUCCUUGGAAAAUUUUCAACACCUUAAACUGCAGCCUGUAGUAAAGGCAUGGCAAUCAAAAAAAAAAACUUUUUGAUUGGAUGGGAAUGAAUCAAGAAAAGGUUAAUCGUGUACUCUGAUUCUUCCGAGAAUUUGUGCCAACUGAUCAAGAACAAAAACACCGUCAGGUGUGCAUAAAGGCCAGCUCGUAGAUCAC